AAAUUGAAGAGUUUGAUCAUGGCUCAGAUUGAACGCUGGCGGCAGGCCUAACACAUGCAAGUCGAACGGUAACAGGAAGCAGCUUGCUGCUUUGCUGACGAGUGGCGGACGGGUGAGUAAUGUCUGGGAAACUGCCUGAUGGAGGGGGAUAACUACUGGAAACGGUGGCUAAUACCGCAUAACGUCGCAAGACCAAAGAGGGGGACCUUCGGGCCUCUUGCCAUCAGAUGUGCCCAGAUGGGAUUAGCUUGUUGGUGAGGUAACGGCUCACCAAGGCGACGAUCCCUAGCUGGUCUGAGAGGAUGACCAGCCACACUGGAACUGAGACACGGUCCAGACUCCUACGGGAGGCAGCAGUGGGGAAUAUUGCACAAUGGGCGCAAGCCUGAUGCAGCCAUGCCGCGUGUAUGAAGAAGGCCUUCGGGUUGUA
rnacentral:rRNA from 2 species